UAUUCACAAUUUUUUACUUAUUUGAAUCUAUAAAACUUAUACUAGUUGUAUUUUGUACUUGGAUUGGAUAAUCGGCCAUUAUCAAAUUAAACUUCAUUUUUCUAAACUAAACUUAUUAUUACACCUGAAACAAGUGAAAUAAGGUGAACAAAUUAGGACUAUGAACUAUAAGAUUUUUUUUUUUAAUUUUUUUUUUAUGAUCAAUAGUGUACCUUGGAGAUGCACUACUAAAUUUAAGUCAAAAUGUGACAUUUAUUUGUAAGACGUAGGGAAGAAUUUUAUCUUAGUAAUUAUUUAUGAUUGAAAAAAUAUUAGAAAUAUAUUUAUAGACAAAAUAGGCCUUAAUUUUUUUGGUUUUAUUUGGUGUUUAGAGAGCCACAAAGAUGGGUGAUAAGAAUCGAUCCCAAGACCUCUUGAAUUCGGGAGAGGAGCUCUAACCACUCGAGCUAUAUCUCAAUCUAAUAAAACCUUUAUUUUAUUUUAUCAGAAAAGCCAAGCCAAACUUGUAUAUAUAAUGAAGUAAUUAGUUCCACUAAAUUUAUAACUUUUUUAACAUUAUUAACUUUGUGUCGGUAGAGUUAUUUUUUCUCUUUUUCCUGGACCUUUAAACAUUACUACAUUUUUGAUCAAAUGCAACGCCAAAAAAUGAGCUAUUGCAACGCCCUAUUCAAUGUCGUCGCAAUAGAUAGCCUAUUGCAACGGUAGGGUUAACUAAUACAAUAGUCAAUUAUAUAUCAUAUCUACUGCAACGGUCCCUUAUAUACCGUUGCAAUAGAUUGGGCUAAUACAACGGCAAUAAGAGCUAACACAACGGCUGCUAAAGUUUUAAUAUUUUUUUCUUUCCCUCCGUAUUUUAUACCCAAAAUUUUGAAAUUCUAAAUUAAAGUAUCCAAAUAUUUUAACCCCCUCGGUUUUUUUUUAUCUCCAAAUUCCCCUUCUUCAAUUCAUUUGGUUAGGGAUUCCUCCAAUUUUGAAGUCCAUUGAAGCACGUAGUACUCUGAAUCCUUUCCUCUCUGGUCCAAUGAAGCAGUACUCUGAAUCCUUUACAUUCAAGUUGUAUUUUGAAUUCUCCAUUGAAGCCGUACAUUAAGCUCUUCUCUGAAAUGGCUUUUGGGCCUUUUGUUCUCCAUUGAAUCAGCUUCUCGGGUACUUUUUUUUUUUCUUAUAAAUUAUCACCGACUAUCGAUUUUACAAUCUAGGGUUUGCCUCUUGGCUUUUGUUUUAUAUUCAUAUUUUUGAUUUUAGGUAAUUGAUUUAUAAAAAAGGAUUUGUAAUUGAUUUGUAAUCAUCAUCGACUAUCAUAUUCUAGGGUUUAUGGAGGUGAUGGUGGUGGUGACGGUGGUCGCGGUAUCCAUUACGGUGCUUCGAUUUCUAGGAUUUUGGAUUAUAGCUGAGAAGAGAUUUAAGACUACCACUCCUCUCCUCACUACCACAUGCACGGGAAGAGAUAGCCUGUGAUGAAGCUGAGCUCGGGGAAGAAGAAUUUGCUAAAAAAGUGCACAACCAGCAUGAUCUACAAGCACAGGUGCAUGGGGAGUGAAAUGGAGCGGAAGUAUAGUGACUAGCCAUCUAACAAAUGGUGCAUAUAUGUUGGCGACUCUUAUUCAAGAUCCGGCUUUGUGAAGAUUUGGAUAUUUCGGCUUAUAUAUAUGUUGACAAUUUGUAUUUUGGACGAUCAAAUUAAUUAUCUAACUUUUAUUUAUUAUUAGUAGGGUAUGUCAUACCAAAAAUAGGCAAGUAAUAUUCUGUAAUGUACGUAUUUUGCAUUAUAAUUAUUAUAUAUAAAUGAUACUUUAAUUUGUUUA